GAUGAACGCUGGCGGCGUGCUUAACACAUGCAAGUCGAACGUGAAGAUAGCAAUAUCUGAAAGUGGCAAACGGGUGAGUAACACGUAGGUGACCUGCCUCGAAGCGGGGGAUAACCACGGGAAACUGUGGCUAAUACCGCAUUGUCCUAUUUUGAUGGGAAUCUGAAUAGGUAAAACUCUGGUGCUUCGAGAGGGGCCUGCGUCCGAUUAGCUAGUUGGUGGGGUAAUGGCCUACCAAGGCGAUGAUCGGUAGCUGGUCUGAGAGGACGAUCAGCCACACGGGAACUGAGACACGGUCCCGACUCCUACGGGGGGCAGCAGUGAGGAAUAUUGGUCAAUGGGCGCAAGCCUGAACCAGCAACGCCGCGUGGAGGAAGACGGCCUUCGGGUUGUAAACUCCUUUUAGAGGGGAAAAGUAAGGAUGGUACCCUCAGAAUAAGUCACGGCUAACUACGUGC
rnacentral:rRNA from 1 species